CUUCGGACGUCGACCGGCGCACGGGUGAGUAACGCGUAUCCAACCUUCCCGUUACUGCGGGAUAACCUGCCGAAAGGCAGACUAAUACCGCAUGUUCUUCGAUGACGGCAUCAGAUUCGAAGCAAAGAUCCGUCGGUAACGGAGGGGGAUGCGUCUGAUUAGCUAGUUGGCGGGGCGACGGCCCACCAAGGCGACGAUCAGUAGGGGUUCUGAGAGGAAGGUCCCCCACAUUGGAACUUAGACACGGUCCAAACUCCUACGGGAGGCAGCAGCC
rnacentral:rRNA from 1 species